CACUAUGGUUCGCGUAGAACAAGCUAGCUGGACAAAAGUCACUUUCACAUUCAUUGGAAAUUCUUAUCAAUACUGAUAAACAACACCCUGACGAUAAUGAGUCUACGUCUAAUUAUUGACAUAAUUACUUAAUGAGGGAGUAAUUAAGAUGAGUAUAUAAUGCAUAGUGAUAUUUUUGCAGUAAUCAUUUGCAAAAGUGCGUUUGGAUUGUCAUCUUACUGUGUGUGUAUUAGAAACCUUGUGAAUAAUUUAAGUGUCGAAUAUGGAGCAUAAAGAUGCCGUGUAUGAAGUGUCAAGGAAGGACUUUUUUGAAGAAUGGCUAAAACACCCAAAGUUAACCAGAAAUGAAGAUUUGUUUCGCUUUGUUUUAUCAAGACAUGACUUCAGUGGGGUUGCCGAAGAAUCUAUCAGAAGUAUAAAAAUGAAAAUAGCGAAAAUUUCAGCUAUUAUUGAUGAAAAAUGGAAACACGCAGGAAAAAAACCAGAACGGUUUAAAAAUAAGCACAUAGAGCGGUUACAAGGUGCAGAUUUAUCUUUUGGAGUAUCAAUAAUACCUUGCUCCCCAUCAGGGUCAUCAGAUUGCACUGAAAAACCUGGUCGACCUAAGACAGAUUUUUCAGAUUCGAGCCUUAAAACUAAGCGUCGGCGAGUUAAGCUCUAUUCGUGGUAUUUCAUGCCCGUUACUGUGCAUAAACUGCUUGUGUAUAGUACGGAGGUGAUAAAAUCAGCACUUUUACCUAUUGGGCAGCUAUCUGAAGAAGCUCAAGAAGCUCGUAAUAAAGAUUGUAGGAGAUUUCGUGAGCAUAACACACGAAAACGGUCACGUAUUGCUACGAAUAGAUAUUUACUUAAUAUGUUGUUGAUAACUUCUGACCCUGUUAUUAACA